AUGAAUCUGGUGGAACUCAGACUGGUGGCGGAGAUGAAUCUGGUGGAACUCGGACUGGUGGCGGAUAUAUGUUGUAGGUGGUCUCGGAUUGGCUUGAUGGUGGCGGAUAUGUGGCGUGUUAUAUGGACUCGGAUUGGCGGUGAAUAUGUGAUGGUGGUAUAUGGCAACGACGAUGAAGUUGUGCGGUGGUGGUAUAUGGCUGAUGAGGACAUCAAUACCAUUGUUACACCCACAGCCCCUACUGCUAUACAUACUGGACCAAUUACUAGAGCUCGCGCACGCCAACUAAAUUACCAGGUAAUUUUGUUUCUUGGUAAUGAUUCUAAUGUUCAUGAGAAUAUGAUGCUGCCUAAAUUGGAUACAUUUGUUUUGCUUACAAAUGAAGGGCCUAGCAUGGAGAAGGAUGAACAUUGGAGCAAGAACAAGCAUGGAGAUGAUGGCAUGCGCAAGGGGAACAAGAACAGAGUUACAAGUGAUGAUUUCAGGGCUUUGAAGCCACCACAACGAGUGCAGAAGCCUUGGACGAAAUAUACAAGAUGCCACUUCAUAAAUUUCGUCCAGAGGCUAUUCAAGGUGCUCCGUCACCUUUUUAUUGGGUCAGGCCCAUGUAAUUUCGAAAUACAUAAGUAUAGGCUAUUUUUAGAGUCCGUAUGUGUGGGGAAACAAGAGAUAGGGUUGGUUUCGGACCCCUCCACCAAGGGCCACGAAAUUCCCCUCCUAUUCCUCCAUAUAUACAGCCCUUAG
rnacentral:rRNA from 1 species